rnacentral:rRNA from 1 species
GGGGGGUGGGGUGUGCUUACCCUGCUCGUCGAGCGAAGCGUAUUUGCGUACGUUUUCUGAUGGAAGCGGAUGCCACUUAACGGCGGACGGGUGAGUAACGCGUGGGUAACCUGCCCCUUACAGGGGGAUAACAGUUAGAAAUGACUGCUAAUACCGCAUAAGCGCACAGGACCGCAUGGUCUGGUGUGAACCACUCCGGUGGUAUGAGAUGGACCCGCGUCUGAUUAUCUAGUUGGCGGGGUAACGGCCCACCAAGGCGACGAUCAGUAGCCGACCUGAGAGGGUGGCCGGCCACAUUGGGACUGAGACACGGCCCAAACUCCUACGGGAGGCAGCAGUGGGGAAUAUUGCACAAUGGGGGAAACCCUGAUGCAGCAACGCCGCGUGAGUGAAGAAGUAUUUCGGUAUGUAAAGCUCUAUCAGCAGGGAAGAAGAAAGACGGUACCUGACUAAGAAGCCCCGGCUAACUACGUGCCAGCAGCCGCGGUAAUACGUAGGGGGCAAGCGUUAUCCGGAUUUACUGGGUGUAAAGGGAGCGUAGACGGCAUAGCAAGUCUGAAGUGAAAGCCCGUGGCUCAACCGCGGAACUGCUUUGGAAACUGUUAAGCUGGAGUACUGGAGAGGCAAGCGGAAUUCCUAGUGUAGCGGUGAAAUGCGUAGAUAUUAAGAGGAACACCAGUGGCGAAAGCGGCUUGCUGGAAAGAGACUGACGUUGAGGCUCGAAAGCGUGGGGGACAAACAGGAUUACAUACCCUGGUACUCCCCGCGGUAAACGAUGAUUGCUACGUGUUGGCGGGCAAAGCCCGUCGGUGCCGUCCCAAACACAAUAAUCAUUUCCCCUGGGGAAUAC